ACUGGAGUUUAGACGUGUGCUUUUCCAUGUCAAAGUGUACCUUGAAUGUGAGGGUAAGUCAUGAGGUAAAGAAACCCGCUCAGCAGGGUGUUGGAGGUGGUGUCCGUCCCAGCGGCAUAGAGGUCAAAAGUCAUUCCUGUCAGUUGUUUCUCAG